GUGAAUCAUCGAAUUUUUGAACGCAAAUCGCACUCUCCUCGGAGAGUAUGCCUGUUUGAGGGUCAGCCUAUAAAAAAUCGACAUCGUUGCUGUUUCGCGGUGGCGUUCGUCGGAAAUUGGGUUAUCUUAAAUCUUUUUGGGUUUUAAGCGUCUUAAAUUUUUCUUUUUGGUUCCAUGAAUGUUUCUAAGAUAUAUUUUUUAACACGUUUAUGGUAUCGAUUUUUAUUAGUCGUGACCAUAAUAUCG
rnacentral:misc_RNA from 1 species